GCCGAGGUGGUGAAAUUGGUAGACACGCAUGCUUCAGGUGCAUGUGGGGGUAACCCCGUGGAGGUUCAAGUCCUCUCCUCGGCACCA
rnacentral:tRNA from 1 species